rnacentral:rRNA from 1 species
UACGAAGGGGACUAGCGUUGUUCGGAAUUACUGGGCGUAAAGCGCGCGUAGGCGGAUCGCUAAGUCAGGGGUGAAAUCCCAGGGCUCAACCCUGGAACUGCCUUUGAUACUGGGGAUCUUGAGUCCGGGAGAGGUGAGUGGAACUGCGAGUGUAGAGGUGAAAUUCGUAGAUAUUCGCAAGAACACCAGUGGCGAAGGCGGCUCACUGGCCCGGAACUGACGCUGAGACGCGAAAGCGUGGGGAGCAAACAGG